rnacentral:rRNA from 1 species
CCUACGGGUGGCUGCAGUGGGGGAUAUUGCACAAUGGGGGAAACCCUGAUGCAGCGACGCCGCGUGAGGGAAGACGGUUUUCGGAUUGUAAACCUCUGUCUUCGGGGACGAAUUGAGACGGUACCCAAGGAGGAAGCUCCGGCGAACUACGUGCCAGCAGCGGCGGUAAUGCGUAGGGAGCAAGCGUUGUCCGGAAUUACUGGGUGUAAUGGGAGCGUAGGCGGGAUAGUAAGUUGAUUGUUAAAGCUAUGGGCUCAACUGGUACAUGCGAUCGAAACUGCAAUUCUUGAGUGAAGUAGAGGCAGGCGGAAUGCGUGGUGUAGCGGUGAAAUGCGUAGAUAUUAGGAAGAACACCAGUGGCGAAGGCAGCCUGCUGGGCUUUAACUGACGCUGAGGCUCGAAAGUGUGGGUAGCAAACAGGAUUAGAUACCCGAGUAGUC